GUCAACCCCCGUGGGGUCCCUUCAGACCGGACAGGAGGUCAUCGUUUCUCCAAACAGGGAAAGGCACAUUAUACAAAUGCCCGGUCAAACCCCCAGAAGAAUGCGUGGUUGGACCAAAGCAACCCACGGCAGGCGGGCAAUACGCUGCUCGCCGAGAAGCUGGUACAUCAGGGAGGCGGGGCUGGUGGUGUGCCCCAGGGCUCGGUUCAGGUCGUCUCCUCUACCAACGGUGACCUGGCGAACGAUGACCCCACCACAGGGCACUCCAACACACCCAUCGCAUUACCUGUCGAAGUGGAAGUCGUCUCAGAUACCAAGUGCUGCUGCUUCUUCAAGAAGAAGAAAAAGAUAGGGCGCCAGAAGUGACUGGCCCUGGCGGCUUCGGCCACACCGGACCAGGAGGCCACACUGCUCUGGACAUCCCUUCAGAUUCCAAGGAGAGUGUGCCCUGUGCUGCCCCGCCGCAUGCCACGGUGGCUGCUGGUGCGCCACACGUCUCGUCCUCAGCCUUCUGAUGGCACCACACUAUUUAUACCAGACACUCCUCACCAUGCCUCUCACCACCCGGACUGCUGAGGAAGAGAAGUGGCAUCGCCCAUCUCUUUCGUUGCUCGGUCGGUUCGGAGAGGAGCACAUUGCCGCUGUGUCAGACAUGCUGUGCACUCUUACUCGCAUGGUGGACAGACAGGAGGCAGGGCUUUCUUUCUUUUUUUUUCUUUUUUUUUCUUCUUCUAUGGAGGUGUUUGCAGUGGCCCAACUGUUGCUAGGGCUGUUGUGCAAUGGCAGUGUUGAAAGGCGGUGGGCCUUGCCCGAGCCCCCCCUCCCCACAUUGUUUCAUUACCAGGUGACCUGUCUUGCCAGUUACUACACACCCAUGGACAAGUGCUGUCAUAAGUUGCCAGUUGUCUUGUGAAUGCAUAACACUUUACCUACGUUGGUGUGUUGCAGCAGUCGGCCCUUUUCUUUUUCCCCCCUCUGCUGCCGUUGCAGCUGAAGAGAGCUGGCAAACAAAUAUUUAUGGCAGUUUGGAGGUUCUCGGAUGUAACGGUAAGGGUACAUAAGAUUCACCUUAGAGAGGCCUCGAAUCUUUUAAUGCUGCCCGGGAGGACGAUAUUUUUCUGUCUUGCCUUCCCUUUGCCCCAGCUGGCACAAGAGAGUUCUUUUGUUAAAUAGGUGUUUUUAUUACUUUUUCUUUUUUUCCUGCUUUUUUAAAAAACACUUGGUUCCAACAGAAACUAUGGCUCGCUGGCGAGUUAGGUUUUUAUUUCAAUGCCGCUGCGCCUUUGCAGGCCUCUCGCCACUGUUGAUGUCUGAUGCCAUCGGGCACACGCUGACUGAUGUGUGCACUGAAGAUACGUGCGAGUACAUAUAGUCACGGUAACUUGAGGAGCAGAACAGAGGGGGAGAAAAGAGAAAUUUUUUUCCAUUGAGCGAGAAAAACUGAGCAGCGUUUCCUCUCACCCAGCCAUGUCACAUUCUUUGGUAGCUGGCACGUGACAUCACUGCAGUCUUCACGUGUCAAGCAAAAAGUGCAUGCCUGGUGCAUAUCCAAGCGAGGAGUGAGCAGUCAAGUCACCAAGUGACGGUGACACAAAAGCGAGCGGUGGUUGUUGAGCACAUACACAGGGCAGGAUUUAGAAAGAAAGGCAAGACAAGUUGCACAUGUCUGAAGGAGCUUGCUGGUCGUGCUCACAGAGGAUGAAGUUAGGGAGUGGAGAGGGUCAAUGUUUGAAGGUCUUCUGGCCUGCCCCCCACAAAAAGAAAAAAAAGAAAAAAAAUUGUGUGUGUGGUUUACCACAAACAGUGUACAAAUUGUAAAGAAUAGUUUCUUUCUUUCCUCUUGCUGUCACAUCUUUCUUUGUACCGGUCUUUCCUAUUUUUUUGUGCUCUGUCGUCUUAUUAUUUUUUGUAAUAAUCAGGUUAAAGGCUGUUACGACAUUUAGGAGUGUUGGAAGCCAAGAACAGCAAGGUCGUAGGCGUGAGAGUAAUAUGCUGAUUUAUUAGGGCCAUUGGCGGUGACCAUGGCCCCCUCUCGUCUUUCUAUUCCGCUCCCGCCCCAAAUUCUAUCCCAUGUAUGUGAUCGCUGUAACAGAGUGCGCCUCUUUCCUCCUUGUGUAUAAUACAUUUAUCUCUGCUGCCUUGUACAUAAAGAAACAUAAUAGGUGAAACAAGAGAUGCCACUGCUUUUGUUUUUCUUUUCCCCUCCCCCCCCCCUUUUUUUUUCAUUCUUCAAUCUUCACUUUUAUCUGGGCAUGUUACAAGCACAGUUGUUGAUGUCUGCUCUUACAGCACUCUUAGCGAAAAAAAAAAAAAAAGAGACGGUGGGAGUUGUCUGUGCACGGACCAUUUGUUGCCUUUGCAGCCUUGGCAGUGACGCAAAGGGAAGGACGUUGUUGAAAUGUAGCUGAAAUCUGGUGGUUUCUGGAGCUUUUUUUUUUUUUUUUCUGUUCUUUCUCAGCAUGUCAUUUCUGCCGUGGUACUUAGUCAUUUUGUUGAGGCACUGCUUACUCUCGCCCGAUUAUCACGCGUAUGUUGUCCUUGCAGUACACCCCCAUCUUCCAGUCUUGUUUUCUCACUCUCUCUCUCCACAUUAGCUUUCUUUUUACACUGGAAUGAAUGGUUUUUGAUCUCAUGCACACUGCUCUCCCAUAUGUAUAUUACUUGUUGCCUCUGUGAAUGUGUUAAAUGCGUGUGUGUGUUCUUUAGAUCGUUUUGCUCCGAGUUCACCCACAUCAAUCGGCGCACAAUACGAUAGGUAGCAAGCAAUGUGACAAACCAGUCUCUCUUGCGCUGCUGACAAAUUGUGGUGUGCUUUAAUGCUUUUAAAUCUUUCCGAACCCCUUUUGUUGUCUGUUCCUCCCCUUAUCACCUUUUCCUUUUUUUUCAUGUCUGGUCUUGGUUGCAUGGUAUUUCUAUAAAUAGUCGUAGCUUGGAACAAUGCAAUACCGGUGGAUUUGUUUAUUUUGUGUCCCAAUUGUUUCAUUGUGUUGCAUGUGUGAUCCCACAGUGCUCUUCAUUGUGUCGCUCAGGUGGCUGUGCAAGCU